UGGCCCUAAUCUUGAUGCUUACACCUACUAAAGCAUCCGCCCGAGAACUACGAGCACCAACGCUUGAAACUCUAAGGACUUGGCGGUGCCCCAAACCCACCUAGAGGAGCCUGUUCUGUAAUCGAUGAUCCACGAUAUACCUGACCAUUCCUUGCCAAAACAGCCUACAUACCGCCGUCGCCAGCCCACCUCCACUGAAAGCCCAACAGUGGGCGCAACAGCCCCACCACGCUAACAAGACAGGUCAAGGUAUAGCCUAUGGAAUGGUAGUAAUGGGCUACAUUUUCUAGACUAGAACAUACGGCAAAGGGGUAUGAAACAACCCCUGGAAGGCGGAUUUAGCAGUAAAGUGGGACAAUCGAGCCCUCUUUAAGCCGGCCCUGGGACACGUACAUACCGCCCGUCACCCUCCUCGCAGGCGCCCCCCACCCCCCAAUAAACUAAUAAGCCACUUAGCCAAAGAUGAGGUAAGUCGUAACAAGGUAAGUGUACCGGAAGGUGCACUUAGACCACCAAGACGUAGCUUAAACAAAAGCAUAUUAA
rnacentral:rRNA from 1 species